rnacentral:ncRNA from 1 species
CAGGCUGAUACCGCCCAAGAGUUCAUAUCGACGGCGGUGUUUGGCACCUCGAUGUCGGCUCAUCACAUCCUGGGGCUGAAGUCGGUCCCAAGGGUAUGGCUGUUCGCCAUUUAAAGUGGUACGCGAGCUGGGUUUAGAACGUCGUGAGACAGUUCGGUCCCUAUCUGCCGUGGGCGUUGGAAGAUUGAAGGGGGCUGCUCCUAGUACGAGAGGACCGGAGUGGACGAACCUCUGGUGUUCGGGUUGUCAUGCCAAUGGCAUUGCCCGGUAGCUAAGUUCGGAAUCGAUAACCGCUGAAAGCAUCUAAGCGGGAAGCGAGCCCUGAGAUGAGUCUUCCCUGAUACUUUAAGUAUCCUAAAGGGUUGUUCGAGACUAGAACGUUGAUAGGCAGGGUGUGUAAGCGUUGUGAGGCGUUGAGCUAACCUGUACUAAUUGCCCGUGAGGCUUAACCAU